UCCGGUUUGUCACCGGCAGUCAUCUUAGAGUGCCCAACUAAAUGCUGGCAACUAAGAUCAAGGGUUGCGCUCGUUGCGGGACUUAACCCAACAUCUCACGACACGAGCUGACGACAACCAUGCACCACCUGUCACUCUGUCCCCCGAAGGGGAAGGUCCUAUCUCUAGGAUGGUCAGAGGAUGUCAAGACCUGGUAAGGUUCUUCGCGUUGCUUCGAAUUAAACCACAUGCUCCACCGCUUGUGCGGGCCCCCGUCAAUUCCUUUGAGUUUCAGUCUUGCGACCGUACUCCCCAGGCGGAGUGCUUAAUGCGUUAGCUACAGCACCGCGGGGGUCAACACCCACGACACCUAGUUCUCAUCGUUUACGGCGUGGACUAC
rnacentral:misc_RNA from 1 species